UUUCCGUAGGUGAACCUGCGGAAGGAUCAUUAUUGUAUAACCGAGGUGCGAGGGCUGUCGCUGACCCGAAAGGACGUGCACGCCCGAGUGCCCUCACACACAUCCAUCUCACCCCUAUGUGCACCACCCCGGGGGUCCCCCUUUGGCUUGUUCGGAGGGGGGCUUACGUUUUCACACAAACUUUGUAUGCAGUGUAGAAUGUAUUUUUUGUUUUUGCGAUCACGCAAUCAAUACAACUUUCAACAACGGAUCUCUUGGCUCUC
rnacentral:misc_RNA from 1 species